rnacentral:rRNA from 1 species
CUGGCGGCGUGCCUAAUACAUGCAAGUAGAACGCUGAAGAGAGGAGCUUGCUCUUCUUGGAUGAGUUGCGAACGGGUGAGUAACGCGUAGGUAACCUGCCUUGUAGCGGGGGAUAACUAUUGGAAACGAUAGCUAAUACCGCAUAACAAUGGAUGACACAUGUCAUUUAUUUGAAAGGGGCAAUUGCUCCACUACAAGAUGGACCUGCGUUGUAUUAGCUAGUAGGUGAGGUAAUGGCUCACCUAGGCGACGAUACAUAGCCGACCUGAGAGGGUGAUCGGCCACACUGGGACUGAGACACGGCCCAGACUCCUACGGGAGGCAGCAGUAGGGAAUCUUCGGCAAUGGGGGCAACCCUGACCGAGCAACGCCGCGUGAGUGAAGAAGGUUUUCGGAUCGUAAAGCUCUGUUGUAAGUCAAGAACGGGUGUGAGAGUGGAAAGUUCACACUGUGACGGUAGCUUACCAGAAAGGGACGGCUAACUACGUGCCAGCAGCCGCGGUAAUACGUAGGUCCCGAGCGUUGUCCGGAUUUAUUGGGCGUAAAGCGAGCGCAGGCGGUUUGAUAAGUCUGAAGUUAAAGACUGUGGCUCAACCAUAGUUCGCUUUGGAAACUGUCAAACUUGAGUGCAGAAGGGGAGAGUGGAAUUCCAUGUGUAGCGGUGAAAUGCGUAGAUAUAUGGAGGAACACCGGUGGCGAAAGCGGCUCUCUGGUCUGUAACUGACGCUGAGGCUCGAAAGCGUGGGGAGCGAACAGGAUUAGAUACCCUGGUAGUCCACGCCGUAAACGAUGAGUGCUAGGUGUUGGAUCCUUUCCGGGAUUCAGUGCCGCAGCUAACGCAUUAAGCACUCCGCCUGGGGAGUACGACCGCAAGGUUGAAACUCAAAGGAAUUGACGGGGGCCCGCACAAGCGGUGGAGCAUGUGGUUUAAUUCGAAGCAACGCGAAGAACCUUACCAGGUCUUGACAUCCCGAUGCUAUUUCUAGAGAUAGAAAGUUACUUCGGUACAUCGGUGACAGGUGGUGCAUGGUUGUCGUCAGCUCGUGUCGUGAGAUGUUGGGUUAAGUCCCGCAACGAGCGCAACCCCUAUUGUUAGUUGCCAUCAUUCAGUUGGGCACUCUAGCGAGACUGCCGGUAAUAAACCGGAGGAAGGUGGGGAUGACGUCAAAUCAUCAUGCCCCUUAUGACCUGGGCUACACACGUGCUACAAUGGUUGGUACAACGAGUUGCGAGUCGGUGACGGCGAGCUAAUCUCUUAAAGCCAAUCUCAGUUCGGAUUGUAGGCUGCAACUCGCCUACAUGAAGUCGGAAUCGCUAGUAAUCGCGGAUCAGCACGCCGCGGUGAAUACGUUCCCGGGCCUUGUACACACCGCCCGUCACACCACGAGAGUUUGUAACACCCGAAGUCGGUGAGGUAACCUUUUGGAGCCAGCCGCCUA